rnacentral:rRNA from 1 species
CCUACGGGGGGCAGCAGUGGGGAAUAUUGCACAAUGGGGGAAACCCUGAUGCAGCGACGCCGCGUGAGUGAAGAAGUAAUUCGUUACGUAAAGCUCUAUCAGCAGGGAAGAAAAUGACGGUACCUGAGUAAGAAGCCCCGGCUAACGACGUGCCAGCAGCCGCGGUAAUACGUAGGGGGCAAGCGUUAUCCGGAUUUACUGGGUGUAAAGGGAGCGUAGGCGGAGGCACAAGUCAGCGGUAAAAUCGCGGGGCUCAACCCCGCUCCGCCGUUGAACCUGUGUCCCGUGAGUGCGCGAAGGGUAGGCGGAAUGCGUGGUGUAGCGGUGAAAUGCAUAGAUAUCACGCAGAACUCCGAUCGCGAAGGCAGCCUACCGGCGCGCAACUGACGCUCAUGCACGAAAGCGUGGGUAUCGAACAGGAUUAGAUACCCCAGUAGUC